AUUGAACGCUGGCGGCAUGCUUUUCACAUGCAAGUCGAACGGCAGCACAGGGAGCUUGCUCCUGGGUGGCGAGCGGCGAACGGGUGAGUAAUGUAUCGGAACGUGCCUGGUAGUGGGGGAUAACUACUCGAAAGAGUGGCUAAUACCGCAUGAGAUCUUUGGAUGAAAGCGGGGGACCUUCGGGCCUCGUGCUACUGGAGCGGCCGAUAUCAGAUUAGGUUGUUGGUGGGGUAAAGGCCUACCAAGCCUGCGAUCUGUAGCUGGUCUGAGAGGACGACCAGCCACACUGGGACUGAGACACGGCCCAGACUCCUACGGGAGGCAGCAGUGGGGAAUUUUGGACAAUGGGCGCAAGCCUGAUCCAGCAAUGCCGCGUGCAGGACGAAGGCCUUCGGGUUGUAAACUGCUUUUGUACAGAACGAAAAGUCUCUGGCUAAUAUCUAGAGAUCAUGACGGUACUGUAAGAAUAAGCACCGGCUAACUACGUG
rnacentral:rRNA from 1 species